rnacentral:lncRNA from 1 species
AUCUUCGUGCAUAGGCAAACUUAUUGUAGCUAGACUGUACAAAGUAUAUCAAGAUAUGCCAAAUAUUGAGCUUAACUUCACCUGUUUGAGAGACGUGUUGUGAACCACUUGUCAUGGGAUAACCAAAAUUAAACCUGGAAUCGCAGAAGAAACAAAUUUUUUGAAGAAAUUGGAUGUACUUUUUUAAAAUUUUUCAUUCAACUAAAACUUUGUUAACUGUUUCUUGGUUGUGGUCUUCUCUAAAUUGUAAUCUUUGGCAUUCACUUCCAAAGUAUCCACCACUAAACUUCAUAACAUUUAUUGUGUCUCUUCAUCAUUAAACUUUGAUGAAUUUACAGAGUGUCUUUUGAAAUUAUGUUCUUGAGAAAGCCAGGGGAUUGGACGGUGUCAUGGAAAUGUCAAAGAAAAAGUGACACCUGAGAGAAAAUUUGAAAGAUGAAAGUGCUGUUAAUACGGAAACUGGUCUAAUAUGGAAAACAGGUGAACAUGGAGCUGCUUUGUUUGACUCAGGGAUGAGAGAUACCCAGGUCCUAAUUACUUGUCUUUAACUUUCCUUAGGGAGUACUAAUUUGGGAGUCAUUGUUCUAAACAAUUAAAGUGAAGUAACUGUCCUGUUUUUCUCUUUUACCCUUGUGAACGAGGAAGCUCAGGGUUAAAGUCUAUGUCUUUACUUAUACAUUUCUGUGUUGUAGGAUCUUUUAAUAAAGAUUUUCUCCUUUU